UCGUUGUUACGCGUGCAAGAGGUCUCUUUGUUGCUGGCCUUUACAGUGCGCGGUUGAUGUGAGUAGGCGCACACGGCAAGGAAGUAAAACAUUUCUGUAAGAAGUGUUGGUCUGAGCACGCGACGCGUAGUCUGAGAAGAGUAGUCAAAAGCAUUUACGGACAACAAUGGCCGGAACAGAGACUUCGAACGUGAAGUCGGAACCGACGAACGCUCCAGUUGAGAAUAGCAACGAAAACCCGCGUGAACGAAACCAACCGGGCGGCGGUAAUCGUGGAGCUCGUGGUCGAAAAGGAGGCACUCGCUUUUCCGGUGGCCGCGGCGGAAUUGGCGGUGGCGGUGGCAACAGAAAUAACGAUGCAAUGAAAAUAAAUGAUUCUAUAGAUGGAGGCAUAGAUUUAAUGUCUGAAAGUAAAAGCGGCAUGAGUGGUGGUAUGAGCAUGGGUCGAGGUGGAGGAAUGCGAGGUGGAAGAGGAAGUGGUCGUGGAGGUAUAGACAGAAACAUGGUCAACAGAUCACAAGAUGAUCGCUUGAUGGAACGCAUUAUGGCUAUUAGUGGACCUACUCAUGAAUUACAACCGCAAGACACAACAGAAAAAAAGUUCAGUAGCAGAAAUCGUUUAUACAUUGGAAACUUGACAAAUGAUGUGACUGAAGAAGAGAUACAAACUUUGUUUCAAAAAUAUGGCGAAAUAUCUGAAUUAUUUGUAAAUAAAGAGAAAAAUUUUGCUUUUCUCAAAAUGGACUAUAAAGUAAAUGCUGAAGCAGCAAAACGCGAAUUGGAUGGUUCAAUGCGCAAGGGUCGUACAUUAAAAGUGCGAUUUGCUCCUAACUCAUCUACAAUCAAAGUAAAGAAUCUUACACCUUGGACAUCUAAUGAACUUCUUGAGAGAGCUUUCAGUGUGUUCGGCGAAAUUGAACGCGCGAUAGUUAAAGUCGAUGAACGAGGUAAAACUACUGGCGAGGGAAUUGUUGAAUUUUGUCGAAAGUCGUCGGCUCAAGUGGCUCUGAGGAAAUGUACAGAAGGAUGCUAUUUUAUUACAGCUUCUCUUCGACCAGUUGUUGUGGAACUGUUUGAACAACAAGAUGACGUAGAUGGCUAUCCUGAUAAGAGUUUGCCACGCAAAAAUCCCGAAUUUUUCAAAGCUCGUGACAUAGGACCUCGUUUUGCGCAGAUAGGUAGUUUCGAACACGAAUAUGGAACAAGAUGGAAACAGUUGCACGAAUUAUAUAAACAAAAAGAAGAGGCACUUAAACGAGAAAUGGCAAUGGAAGAAGAAAAGCUAGAGGCUCAAAUGGAAUUUGCUAGAUAUGAACAUGAAACGGAACUUCUGAGAGAACAACUACGUAUGCGCGAAGCUGAUCGUGAAAGGCAAAAGAGAGAAUGGGAAAUGAAAGAACGACAAGCCGAAGAACAGAGGACCCGUGAAGAAGAGUUGAGACGACGUCAGCAAGAAGAAAUGACCAUACGUAUUAGAAGACAAGAAGAAGAAUUGCAUAGACGUCAACAAGAAAACAAUUUGUUUAUGCAGGAACAGGCAAUCCGUAGUGGAAAAAGUUAUGAUUCUGUCGCUAGCACUGAUCGUGAUGGAUAUGGCCAACCUGAUGGUGGAAGCAGCAUGGCAGUGCGUCAGAUUUACACAGUGCCCGAUCGAUAUCACACCUCUGGAUACGAAAUUCAACUUUCGUCUAAAGUCUAGGCUAUUAAGGAUUUCACACGAAGAAAUUUUGACCACGUGACAUGCGGAAGGCUUUCGUCACGAUAUUCACGACUCGUCGAAGGUUAGUUUUGCAGUUUACUGCAAUAAAUAGACUCAAAGAUCUUCCGCUGUAUCAAUAAUCGCGCCUCUAUAUAUUUAAUGCAGAAAUACAAGUCAUCUGGACGGCCAUAGAACAUUAACGCAUCAGCUGGCUGAAUAAAUGCACAGAAGUAAACAUAUAGUUUGAUAUCUCGAUUGCUCAGAAUACGGAGACAACAUAACGUUUGUAUAUUUUUACUACCAUAACGUUACUACUUUUGAUACUUUAUUUGCGAAGAGAGAUAUCUGCACAAAAAAAUAAACGAAAAACAAUGUAAAUUAAUACAGUGUCUCUGGAAUACUUCAAUUUUAAAGAAGAGCAGAAAAAUAAAACCCAAUCUACGGAAAAUCAUAUGGAGAACACUCACAUAGAACACUCUAGCACUCGGGUGACGACAUGUAUAGUUGCUGGUGUCCAUGCGGUUAUAGCUUAACAGAAAGACUGCAGUGACAACAGCCGAAAACCUUUGAUUCAGCGCAAUCCAAGAUCCUCGAGGUACAAGGUACGCGAUUAGAGAAAGAGCGCAUUAAGAAUGAACAAGAUAUGUGACAUCUUCAGUCUAUACCGAAAAGGAUACGAAAUAAACUACUUCCUAAAUAAACGCAGAGAUAUCUUAGUAAACAAAGGGCGAAAUGAAAUAGUGGUAUUUGCGCAAAGAAUCGGCCGAUCAUAAGCAAUAUGGUGAUGGAUGAGAAGAAACAAGGAUUACCUGGAUUUACCUGGAUAUAGCGCACACAGUUGUCACUAUCACGGAUAAGAAUACACACUGUUUUUCUCACUCGAUGUUACGUGUCGCCGCAAAACAUUACAAGCGUAUUUUUGGAAAAAUUUGACGAGUUUCUAUUCCACGUAACAAGAUAUAAAAGACAUAAAACGAAUAAGCCAGAACACAUCUCUGGCCGAGCUCGGGAUGGACUCUAUGAUGACAGUAGAGAUCAGACAAUGUCGCGCACAGGACUCGAUGACAUCGGAGAAGUGUAAAACCGACGAAGAAAGAUUCAACACUUUAACAAAAUACUUUUCGGCAUAAAAUUCAACACUCUCGCUAGCAAAUUUAAAGAUAUUGUACAAUAUAUAAACAUUUAGUUAUCACGAAGAAGUACGAAGUUUCUACCGUACCGCGUAUCAAAUCUCCAGUAAUAUCGUUAAAACCUACAAUUCCUUCGGCAUCUGAAGCCGAAGAAAAUUACGGUUUGCACAAGAUAACAUCCGACGUCACGAUACAGUAUGUCGAGGGAAGCCACAAGACAAUUUUAAGAAAUCCUGUAAGAAAAUGUAAUUUCUGAAACAUCAUUUGAAUAUGAAUAAAUAACAUUGACACAA